rnacentral:lncRNA from 1 species
AAAGAAAAUGACUUUUAGUUGUUAUCCAUUCUCUUAGUAGUUGUUCACUGGACUGCAUCUAUUCUAGCCAAGAAGAUACUUCUUUAAAUAAAUUAUUAAAAAAAUAGGGGAUCAUCUUUCUUGUGAACUAUUGAUUUUCUUUCACAGAAAAGGAUAACCCCCCACUUAGCAAGGCCGGGCAGGAUGCGAUCUUGUCACCACCUACAGACGGAGCGGUUUUGGAUGACGGCGAGAGCACGGAUGACCACGCCAUCGUCCAGUAUGAGUGGACACUGCUGCAGGGUUACCCGUCAGUGGACAUGAAGAGCUGCUCUCUCGCUUUCCUACAAUUUCUCCAUCACAUCUCAGCCCAGGCCUGGACCAUCAUGGUGUGAGAUUCAAAGCCAGAUCACUGGAAACAAGUUUCUUUUGUAUGAUUGUGGGAGCAAGAAAAAAAUCAAAACUGUUGGUCCUCUGGGGAUGAAGCUGAAGAACACAGCAUUUUGGGGGACACAGAGGGAACCUCUGAAAGACCUGGGGGAAGAGCUCAGAAAGAAAGUACUGGACAUCAAAGCAGAGAUUUUGAUGAAGAGUGAUUCUCUCACCAUGCAGGGCAGCCUGAUGUCCCCGGCAGGGCCGAUGGACACACCAGAGGAUCCUGGUGGUUUGCCUUCAAUGGGCAGUUAA